UAGGGAAUCUUCCGCAAUGGGCGAAAGCCUGACGGAGCAACGCCGCGUGAGUGAUGAAGGUCUUCGGAUCGUAAAACUCUGUUAUUAGGGAAGAACAAAUGUGUCAGUAACUAUGCACGUCUUGACGGUACCUAAUCAGAAAGCCACGGCUAACUACGUGCCAGCAGCCGCGGUAAUACGUAGGUGGCAAGCGUUAUCCGGAAUUAUUGGGCGUAAAGCGCGCGUAGGCGGUUUUUUAAGUCUGAUGUGAAAGCCCACGGCUCAACCGUGGAGGGUCAUUGGAAGCUGGAAAGCUUGAGUGCAGAAGUGGAAAGUGGAAUUCCGUGUGUAGCAGUGGAAUGCGCAGAGAUAUGGAGGAACACCAGUGGCGAAGGCGACUUUCUGGUCUGUAACUGACGCUGAUGUGCGAAAGCGUGGGGAUCAGACAGG
rnacentral:rRNA from 1 species